UGUUUCACUUGUUUCCAUUGUAUUGCGGCUUGUCUCCAUUGUAUUGUGGUUUGUUUCCAUUGUGUUGUGACUUGUUUUGCUUGUCUCCAUUGUGUUGUGUUAAUUUCUUUGUGUUGCGACUUGUUUCACUUGUUUACAUUGUGUUGUGGCUUGUUUCCAUUGUGUUGCAGCUUGUCUCUGUUGUGUUGCGGCUUGUCUCCAUUGUGUUGCAACUUGUUUGUAUUGUGUUGUGCUAAUUUCUUUGUGUUGAGACUUGUUUCCAUUGUGUUGUGGCUUGUUUCCAUUGUGUUGUGUUUUGUCUCCAUUGUGUUGCGACUUGUUUCCUUUUUUGUUGUGGCUUGUCUCCAUUGUGUUGUGGCUUGUUUCCAUUGUGUUGUGCUAAUUUCUUUGUGUUGCGGCUUGUCUCAGUUGUGUUGCGGCUUGUUUCCAUUGUGUUUCGCUUGUUUCCAUUGUAUUGCGGCUUGUCUCCAUUGUAUUGUGGUUUGUUUCCAUAGUGUUGCGACUUGUUUUGCUUGUCUCCAUUGUGUUGUGUUAAUUUCUUUGUGUUGCGACUUGUUUCACUUGUUUACAUUGUGUUGUGGCUUGUUUCCAUUGUGUUGCAGCUUGUCUCUGUUGUGUUGUGGCUUGUCUCCAUUGUGUUGUGGUAAUUUCUUUGUGUUGAGACUUGUUUCCUUUGUUUUGCGACUUAUUUCGCUUGUUUCCAUUGUGUUUUGGCUUGUUUCAAUUGUGUUGCGGCGUGUCUCCAUUGUGUUGUGGCUUGUCUCCACUGUGUUGCGGCUUGUCUCAGUUGUGUUGUGGCUUGUUUACAUUGUGUUGUGGCUUGUCUCCAUUGUGAUACAACUUGUUUUUCUGGUCUCCAAUGUGUUGUGGCUUGUUUACAUUGUGUUGUGGCUUGUCUCCAUUGUGAUACAACUUGUUUUUCUGGUCUCCAAUGUGUUGUGGCUUGCCUGCAUUGUGUUGUGGCUUGUUUCCAUUGUGUUGCAAAUGGUUUCUCUUGUUUCCAUUCUGGUGUGGCUUGUUUCCACUGUGUUGUGGCUUGUUUCCAUUGUGUUGCGGCUUGUCUCAGUUGUGUUGCGGCUUGUUUCAAUUGUGUUUCGCUUGUUUCCAUUGUGUUUUGCUUGUUUCCUAUGUGUUGCGGCUUGUCUCAGUUGUGUUGCGGCUUGUUUCCAUUGUGUUUCGCUUGUUUCCAUUGUAUUGCGGCUUGUCUCCAUUGUAUUGUGGCUUGUUUCCAUAGUGUUGUGACUUGUUUUGCUUGUCUUCAUUGUGUUGUGUUAAUUUCUUUGUGUUGCGACUUGUUUCCUUU
ensembl:lncRNA